rnacentral:hammerhead_ribozyme from 1 species
AUUGACGAGUCCUAAAUAAGACGAAACACGCGUCCUGGAU